rnacentral:rRNA from 1 species
UUCCGGUUGAUCCUGCCAGAGGUUACUGCUAUCGAGGUCCGACUAAGCCAUGCGAGUCGAAUGUAGCAAUACAUGGCGUACUGCUCAGUAACACGUGGACAACCUACCCUUAGGCCUGGGAUAAACCUGGGAAACUGGGUAUAAUACCGGAUAGUUCUCGGAUGCUGGAAUGCAUCGAGGAUGAAAGCUCCGACGCCUAAGGAUGGGUCUGCGGCCUAUCAGGGUAGUAGUGGGUGUAACGUACCUACUAGCCUACGACGGGUACGGGUUGUGAGAGCAAGAGCCCGGAGAUGGAUUCUGAGACACGAAUCCAGGCCCUAC